AGUGUCCGCAUGACUCUUGGAUUAACCCCAGUAUUACAGUAAAACACUGCACAAAACAAGGUAAUCUCGGUUCAGAAGACAGAAGCUUACUUUAUCCAAUAAAAAAAUCGUCUCUUUAGCAAUAGCAACUAUGCAGUCUCCCUUUGUCGUGAUACUGUUUCUCGCAUUCGCCCACCAUGCAACUCCUUUGUUCAGCUUUCAUGUCGGCUCAAGAGCCCCAGAAGACGUAGUAUUUCUGAAUUUGACCGAAACGUUCCAAAAGGAAAUUGGUAGGCCUACGUACUUCGUUAAAACCUACUCCGGCAACUCGAAGGAGCCGUAUGAAUUGACAAGUGUUAAAGUCACACCAGUGGGUCGCUACUGCUUGGCUUCCGCUGGAAUAGUAGCCGGUGGACCUGGACACUCGUUCUUUACUAUCGGCUACGCUAUGCCCAACAACCUGAUGGCCUAUGGGUUCAAUGUGAUUGCUUACAAGAGAAUUAAAACGUAGAAAAUGUUUAGAUUGUAGGAAAAUGUGCUAUGGAUAUUUUUACCACAAAAACUUUUAAUAAAAUUUGUACGAAUAUUUUUAACAAUGUAAUUUUAUAAUUUCAUUCGCCUCAGACUAAAUUAGUAUCAUGUUUAGAUAAUAACGAAAUUAUCCUUUACAAAUUAAACAGACAAUUUACACACUACACGAAUCAUUGUACAUAUACAUGGAGCGAUUUGCAACGUCAGAAAUCCGGAGAUCCCCACUCGCACUUAUAAAAGCUUAGUGUAUGCGGUACAGCCCAUCAUUCGUCAUUAGUGAUUAGCAAUCGUCUGAUCGCAACAAGUCAGGGGUAUACAUAGUUGAUUUUUUUUUUGCUCUACCGCAACAACAUGAAAAUAUACGUGAUUUGUGCUGUGCUUUUGUUCGCACCAGCAGCAUUGGGUCUGUUUUCUAAUGGAAUUUGGGAUGUUUUACAUGCUAAUGAAGCAAAGUGUCAACUCAAUAGCGGAGCAAGCGAUGCAAGUAUCGAAGAUGCCAGACGAGCUAGGAAACUUUCCGAAAGUCCAGAAAUGAAUGCCUUCGCGAAGUGUAUGCUGGGAAUAUACAAUGUUAUGAGACCUGAUGGAAGCAUCAAUCCCGAUUUUCAGUCAUACACUGUACCGACCGAUGUACCCAAUAAUACCUGGAGAAUUUCUCAGAAAUGCAUAACUCUGGGUGGAACUGAUUCCGGAGAUACUGCGAGAAAAAUCUUCAACUGUUAUACUGAGAACAAUCAACUGGUUAUGGCCUGGACACCUAAAGUGUCUGUUUAGUAAAAUUGACAACAGUAGCAACUGUAACAAUCAGUUAUUCUUAAUAAUAAAUUCAAUUUUCAGUGCAAAAAAACUUCUAUAACUAUAUUCAUCUUUAUGCUAUACCAAUUUAUAUUUAAAAAAUAAGAAGUCCUCUUAUCUAAUAAAUAAAGUUUGUAUAUUUACAAUGAUUACGGAAACUGAUGUUUUGUAUCAGCGAUUCGGACUUUCCCAAUACAACUCGAGUAUAUAAAAGCUCAGUUUACGCUGAAGUCUGCAUCAGUGAUUGGCAACCGUCGGACCGUAACAUAUCAGCCAAUACAUAUUCUGUCUAGUCGAUUCUUUUGCUUUACUGCGUCAAUAUGAAAAUAUACGUUCUUUGUGCUGUACUUUUCUUCACACCCACUGUAUUUGGUAUCUAUUCCUCUGCAAUUUGGGAUGCUUUACUUCAUGCUAACGAAGAACCAUGUGGACGAAGUGCAGGACUAAGCGAAGAAAGUAUCGAAAGUUCCAGACGAGCCAGGUAUCUUCCCGAAAGUCCAGAAAUGAAUGUAUUCGCAUUUUGUGUAAUACGAGUAUUAAAUAUCAUGAGCAAAGAUGGAAAGGUAAAUCCCGACAUUGGAUCAUACCUUGUUCCGACUAACACACCGGAUAUUACAAAGGUAAUUUCCGAGAAAUGCAGAACUCAUGUUGGAGUUGAUGCCGGAGAUACCGCGAGGACAAUUUUGAACUGUUAUCUCCAAGCAGAUCAACUGGUCAUUUCGUUACCCUCAGACGCGCAACUGACUUUUAACUAAAAUUGUAAAUAAACACUGCAUUGAGACACAAGUCCGCGAGGAGGUGAUCCACGAAACAAGUGAUAUAACAACAAGUUGAUAUCAGCGAAUAAAAUCAUAAUUCCCAUUGAGUGACAAUGUUAUAUUCAUCGAUAUGAUUCAGAAUAAAUUAAUUUUUAGUACAAACA